rnacentral:piRNA from 1 species
UCCCCUUAAUGAAAUCAUGCACUCAGAC